UACGUCGGUUGCGCGCGUGAAUCGGAAUUACUGGGCGUAAAGCGUGCGCAGGCGGUUCUAUAAGACAGAUGUGAAAUCCCCGGGCUCAACCUGGGAAUGGCAUUUGUGACUGUAGAGCUAGAGUACGGUAGAGGGGGAUGGAAUUCCGCGUGUAGCAGUGAAAUGCGUAGAUAUGCGGAGGAACACCGAUGGCGAAGGCAAUCCCCUGGACCUGUACUGAAGCUCAUGCAAGAAAGCGGGGGGAGCAAACAGGAGGCGAUAACACCGUAGUCC
rnacentral:rRNA from 1 species